ACUUCUCAACCUCUCUUGCUUUUACAAGCUUAGUUAGGCUUGGAUGUUGGAAGUUGCUGGUUUCUCAGAGGAAGUCAGCUCUUCUUAAACAUAUUAGCGAACCUUUGCUGAUCAUCUUUGGCAUGAUAAUUAUCUACCACUGACAAUCAGUCUCCAUAUUUAUGGAGGGGGUUUAGCUUAUAAUAGUCUGUAUAGACAAUUUUGCA
rnacentral:misc_RNA from 1 species